rnacentral:rRNA from 1 species
UCUGGGUCAUUAGGGAAGUAAAAGUUGUAACAAGGUUUCCGUAGGGAACCUGGGAAGGAUCAUUA